GGUAAUAUAAUAAUAAUACAAUUAUAUAAUAUAAUAUAAUAUAAUUAUAUAUAUAAUAAUAUAGUAAUAUUUAUUGUUAUAAAAUUUAGUUUAGAUAAAUGGUUUUAAAAAUUAAAAAACUAAAAAUGCGUUAGUUAAACAUUUAAUUUUCCUUACUGAUUUUUCGUUUUUAAUCGAACCAAAAACAUUUGGUAAAAAUAAGCACUUCGUAUUUAGCGUUUGAGUUCAUCCACUUAGUGUUCAUUACAUUAAUUUGAGCACGUACUUAACUAAUUCCUGUUUAUUUACAUUCAACUACCAUGCUGUCUUAACCGUAAUAUUUUGGCUUGUGUACAUCUCCACCGAUAUUAAAGGAAUAUUAGAGAGAGUCAAUACGCGAGUCUUGACUGCUCAAAUAAACACCAUGAAAAUAUAAUUUGGGUGUUCUCAAGAUAGGUGAUCGUCAGUAAUAUGGUAAUCUAAAUCUCAAAGUACUCAGAGGGAUAAGAAAGAAGCGUCAGGAGUUCAUGACUGUAGAAUUUUUUGUUGUACAUUUUUUUUUCUCAGUGUCUAGCUAGAUAAUAGUUUGUGUGAUAAAAACAAAAUAAAACAAUGAUUUUUUUUUUCUAGAAAAACAUAGUUGGAUUUAAAAACCACUACUCAAAGUUUUUAAGAGGUUUUCUUGUCUAUUAUAUAAUAUGGACAUUGUUUUAUAAGUGUUAGCAUAAGUAUGUUGGUAUAUAUUCAGAGUAUUAUACUAUUUUAAAGUUCUUAGUAGACAAUAGACAUUACAGUUGACUGUACUUAUUCAUACCGUAUUAUUAUUUAUUAUUAUUAUCGCGUAAAAUGGUUUUAAUUCUUUAAAAUUUAUUUUACUAGUUUUUAUCUACCCAUGUUUGCGAUCUACUGGAACUGAUACAGGUACACAGAUUAAAUUCUAUGGAUAGGUACAUGAUUAUAACUAGUUAAAGAAAAAUUAAUCGUAUUAAAAUUUUUUUGUUUUUUAGGUAUUACAAACAAAAUGAGAAAAUAUUUGUUUUUUGUCAUUGGUUAGAACGAAUUUGAAUUCUACCAACACAUGUCAACUUAACAAUUUCAAAUAAUUUCAUUAUUUUUCUAUAUUAUAUGUAUAGCGAUAUAGCAUAGUACUUGCACAUUUUCAAAAAAAAAUUUAUGAUCAUUAAUAGUUUUAUUAAAAGAAUAUGGGCUCAAGUCGAGUGAAAAUUUGAAAUAACAUAGGAAUGCUGGACUCGAUGUCUUGUUAAAUCGACAAGUCGAUGGUUACUUUUUGUGGUUAUUGGAGUUUCACUAAUCAAGUGACGAUAUCAAAACAUAAAAAGAGAUCAAUUAUGUAUUAAGUUAACCAACUUCUGAGAUAGCAAUAGAAUGAUAUUUGCAUCCAUUUUUCAAUCGUAUGUGGAAUUUGUCACGUUAACAAAAAACUAUAAUCAAACUAUAUCAACUAAAAUAUUCACUAUCUAUUUCAAAUCAGUCUUCGAUCGGAGAUGACCUUUAUGGGAAGCAGUACAUUAAAAAUAAAAUGAUCAAUCAUCAUCCGGUCUCAACCAUACGACUUAUACCAGCUACGCAUAUAAACAUAGCUGGUAAACAGGGUAUACUCCUCGAAUCUGGUACAUAUCAGUUACUUUAGCUUAACACUUAAUUUUCGUAUUUGAUUGCCAAGAACGUCAAUAAAUAAUGUACAUUUACGAAUACAUUAAUAUAAUGUUUAAAAUGCAGUUAUUGGAUUUUAACGACAAAGAGAAUAGUUAAUUGUUUUAAUCGUUUAAAUAAAAUAAAUAACAAAUAAAUGGUGAAACGAAAUACCUAUACUAUAAAGAUUCAUAAUCUCUAUAAUGUCUAUAGUCUACUAUCUAUAGACCUUAUAGUAUAUAACUCAAACUAUAUU